ACCUCUCCAGCAACUGGGGCGCCCACAGCUUGUCUAGAAGGAGCAACACGAGUCAGAAUGAAGAUUGUGUUGCCGAUUCUUGUCCUUGUCCUGGUUUGUGCUGCCCAGGAAACUCCAGCUGAGAUAGACCCCUCCAAGGUUACAGGAGACUGGCGCACCAUUUACUUAGCUGCGGAUAACAAGGAGAAGAUUGCGGAAGGGGGCCCACUGAGGUGUCUCUAUCGUCAGAUUGAAUGUAUUAAUGGCUGCGAAUACCUCUCCCUUACAUUUUAUGUCAAGCUUGACGGGACAUGCCAGUUGUUCCAUGAAGAGGCAAAGAGGCAAAAAGGAGAUGUUUACAUCAUCGAAUUCGCGGGUACAAAUGUUUUGCGACUGAUUCAUGCAUCAGACCACAUGCUGGUAAUUUACAUUGAAAAUUAUGAUGGAGAGAAGAUCACAAGAAUAACUAAAGGCGUCGCCAAAGGAGACAGUUACACUCAAGAAGAAUUUCAGAAGUAUCAGGAACUGAACAGUGAAAGGGGGAUCCCGAAUGAAAAUAUAGAAAAUGGCAUCGAAACAGACAACUGUCCUGCAUAAGAAAAGAGAACAUCAGUUUGGCGGUCUAGACGCCACAGUGGGACGCUCUGAGGACAGAGGAGCAGGCUGGGUGAAGCCCCGAGCUGUGAGAUAUGAUGCGCCCCGGUGAAUCCCACUGUGAAUGAACGGACCGUGCAGCCACAACACAUUCAUGAUGAUACACGAGACGACAGAAGAUAAAAAACGAAAUACGCAUAUGAGCCGCAUCGAACUACUAAUGUGUCCCAAUCAUCCAGAUGAAGAUAUGAGACCUCUUCCUGGAAAUCAUCAUUUCUUCUCUCCCAGGAUAUCAAGAAUCUGAACCCAUGGCUUUCCAGCUAUGAAUGUCCUCUGCUCCUGCUGAUGUUACUGGAUUCCUAAACUGAUCAAUAAAUUGAUUAAAGCACGUA